AACGAACGCUGGCGGCGUGGAUAAGACAUGCAAGUCGAGCGGGAUUUUCUUUGGUAGCAAUACCGAGGAAAAUUCAGCGGCGAACGGGUGCGUAACACGUGGGCAAUCUGCCUUGAAGUGUGGGAUAGCUCGGCGAAAGCCGGAUUAAUACCGCAUGUGGCUACUGGAGACAUCUUCGGGACGCUAAAGGUGGCGCAAGCUACCGCUUUUUGAGGAGCCCGCGGCCUAUCAGCUUGUUGGUGAGGUAACGGCUCACCAAGGCGUUGACGGGUAGCUGGUCUGAGAGGACGACCAGCCACACUGGGACUGAGACACGGCCCAGACACCUACGGGUGGCAGCAGUCGAGAAUUUUUGACAAUGGGGGAAACCCUGAUCGAGCGACGCCGCGUGGAGGAUGAAGGUCUUCGGGUUGUAAACUCCUGUCAUUUGGGAACAAGGCGUAGGUAUUAACUGUGCCUACGUUGAUAGUACCAGAAGAGGAAGAGACGGCUAACUCUGUGCCAGCAGCCGCGGUAAUACAGAGGUCUCAAGCGUUGUUCGGAUUCAUUGGGCGUAAAGGGUGUGUAGGUGGCGCGCUAAGUCGGGUGUGAAAUUUCGGAGCUUAACUCCGAAACUGCAUUCGAUACUGGCGUGCUUGAGGACUGGAGAGGAGACUGGAAUUUACGGUGUAGCAGUGAAAUGCGUAGAUAUCGUAAGGAAGACCAGUGGCGAAGGCGGGUCUCUGGACAGUUCCUGACACUGAGACACGAAGGCCAGGGGAGCAAACGGGAUUAGAUACCCCGG
rnacentral:rRNA from 1 species